CUGGAGGUGAUGCAGAUGUACGGACUGAAUCCUAAUGAUAUCCUUCGUAUUCAUACUGUCUGAUCCAG